AAAUACUGAUCUGAGUGCGACUGGAUUGGCCGUUUUCAGAGCACCAGUAAAAACAAUGAAACGACAAAAAAGUGAGAGUGGGAAAAUUGAGAGGUGAGUGAAUGUGAAGGUAAAGGUGAGUGAAAUUUCAAAUCUGAAACAGAGAACUUGAGUGGUAUCGUUGGAGUUGCGGUUGGUGAUUCGUUGAAGCAGCGUUUGAAGCCGACGGUUUGGAGAGUGACCGCAAGAGGAGCGAACUGCGACUAAGUUGAGUUUUUGGGUACACUUCUUUGCGUAACACUCGUCCGACUACGAAUCGGACGACAGCGAUGAGCACCACGAGUCGUGUGGGUUUCGGACGGCAUGGGAUAUGAAUCCAGUCGUGACCACAAUCGAAUCAUGUGGAGGUGAUGAAGGCGCACCGCAUAAUCAAGAGGGAGCAGAAGUCCCUCUUCGAAUCAUGUGAUCGCUAUGAUGCUUGCAUUUGCUGUUUAAAUUGUAUUUGAUUUUAAGUUGAAGCUGCGCAAACGCAAUCGGGAGAUGUACUUGGAUCUCCCAACUAGAUCACUGCCGGAUCCACUUCUGUCAGAAGAGAAUGAUCUCAAGUGGCAACCCAACAAGCAAUCUGAGAGCAUCCUGAAAUGUUUGAAAUUCAUAUAUGUAAGACUACUCAGAACUUCAAGAGCAAUGGAAUUGGAGAAAUCAGGGCCAAUUUCAAGGUUUGUGCACUCUUUUUUAAGUUCAAGAAGCUUCAGGGUGGAUACCCUGACAAACCCAAAACCAAGCCUCUUGUUGCAAAAGGAAUCUAGGCAGCAAGACCCUUAUGGUAUCUUUAACACAAAAGAGUCCAUUCCAAGGAACAUUCGUGCUUACAAGAACCUGGUUAUAUUCACUUCCAGCUCUAUGGAUCCCAAGUUUAUCUCAAGUCCAUACCAUUACUAAGGAAGUUAAGGUAUGGCAUGGAUGAUAUCUCAUUUAUGAGAAGAAUCAAAAUGUUGAAAACAUUGUAAGUUCUACUUGACAAUGAUGAGAUACAUAGUAAAGUGAACAAAAUUCAAAGUAACAGUUAGUUUCUUGCGGUUUACAGGAUCUUGAUGAGAUAUCUUCAAACUGUUUACUUGAAAAUCCUUACAAACAGAAAUUAGCAUUCUGGAUCAACGUGUACAAUGCUUGUAUCAUGCAUGUAUAGUAGAAAUUUCUUGUUUUUUUUUUCUUUCUUUUUUAAAUUUCUCUAUAUCGUUGUAUUGACAUCAGAUUAAGUAUUUAGGAAUUUGAUUCAUGAUCAAUCUGAUGGAUGGGAAUUAUAGGACAUAGAUCAGGACUAUGCUUAAUGUAUUGUCUUGUUUCAGGGAUUUAUCCAAUAUGGAGUACCACCCACCCGAGAAAAACUACUUGCAUUGAUGAACAAGGUACAUUAAAAAUCUCGAUAUAGAUGUCAAUUGUCCUGUUUCUUGCCUGUUGGACUCUGUCAUGGUUUCUUGACAGAAGACGACAAUUUGUUUAUGUUUAUUUUCUGUUUUGAAAAGCUUAUAAAUCCAUAUACAAAUUUUGAACAUGUCUGAAAGAAACAUUUAUUUUCUUAUUGCUAGAAACACUUUCUUCUACCUAUAAUAAGUACAACAAUUUAAUGGGA